AUGCUCAAAAUUCUCCAAGCCAGGCUUCAGCAAUAUGUGAACCGUGAACUUCCAGAUGUUCAAGCUGGAUUUAGAAAAGGCAGAGGAACCAGAAAUCAAAUUGCCAACAUCCGCUGGAUCACGGAAAAAGCAAGAGAGUUCCAGAAAAACAUCUAUUUCUGCUUUAUUGACUAUGCCAAAGCCUCUGACUGUGUGGAUCACAAUACACUGUGGAAAAUUCUGAAAGAGAUGGGACUACCAGACCACCUGACCUGCCUCUUGAGAAAUCUGUAUGCAGGUCAGGAAGCAACAGUUAGAACUGGACAUGGAACAAUGGGCUGGUUCCAAAUAGGAAAAGGAGUACGUCAAGGCUGUAUAUUGUUACCCUGCUUAUUUAACUUCUAUGCAGAGUACAUCAUGAGAAACGCUGGGCUGGAUGAAGCACAAGCUGGAAUCAAGAUUGCUGGGGGAAAUAUCAAUAACGUCAGAUAUGCAGAUGACACCACCCUUAUGGCAGAAAGUGAAGAGGAACUAAAAAGCCUCUUGAUGAAAGUGAAAGAGGAGAGUGAAAAAGUUGGCUUAAAGCUCAACAUUCAGAAAACGAAGAUCAUGGCAUCUGGUCCCAUCACUUCAUGGGAAAUAGAUGGGGAAACAGGGGAAACAGUGUCAGACUUUAUUUUGGGGGGCUCCAAAAUCACUGCAGAUGGUGACUGCAGCCAUGAAAUGAAAAGACACUUACUUCUUGGAACGAAAGUUAUGACCAACCUAGACAGCAUAUUAAAAAGCAGAGACCUUACUAUGUCCACAAAGGUCCAUCUAGUCAAGGCUAUGGUUUUUCCAGUGGCCGUGUAUAGAUGUGAAAGUUGGACUGUAAAGAAAGCUGAGUGCCAAAGAAUUGAUGCUUUUGAACUGUGGUGUUGGAGAAGACUGAGAGUCCCUUGGACUGCAAAGAGAUCCAACGAGUCCAUCCUAAAGGAGAUCAGUGCUGGGUGUUCAUUGGAAGGACUGAUGCUGAAGCUGAAACUCCAAUACUUUGGCCACCUGAUGUGA
rnacentral:lncRNA from 1 species